rnacentral:rRNA from 1 species
UACGAAGGGGGCUAGCGUUGCUCGGAAUGACUGGGCGUAAAGGGCGCGUAGGCGGUUUGUACAGUCAGGUGUGAAAUUCCCGGGCUCAACCUGGGGGCUGCACUUGAUACGUAUGGACUGGAGUGGGGAAGAGGGUCGUGGAAUUCCCAGUGUAGAGGUGAAAUUCGUAGAUAUCGGGAGGAACACCAGUGGCGAAGGCGGUUGCCUGGAGCUUUGCUGACGCUGAUGCGCGAAAGCGUGGGGAGCGAUCCGG